rnacentral:rRNA from 1 species
CCUACGGGGGGCAGCAGUGGGGAAUAUUGCACAAUGGGCGCAAGCCUGAUGCAGCCAUGCCGCGUGUGUGAAGAAGGCCUUCGGGUUGUAAAGCACUUUCAGCGGGGAGGAAGGCGUUAAGGUUAAUAACCUUGGCGAUUGACGUUACCCGCAGAAGAAGCACCGGCUAACUCCGUGCCAGCAGCCGCGGUAAUACGGAGGGUGCAAGCGUUAAUCGGAAUUACUGGGCGUAAAGCGCACGCAGGCGGUCUGUCAAGUCGGAUGUGAAAUCCCCGGGCUCAACCUGGGAACUGCAUUCGAAACUGGCAGGCUAGAGUCUUGUAGAGGGGGGUAGAAUUCCAGGUGUAGCGGUGAAAUGCGUAGAGAUCCGGAGGAAUACCGGUGGCGAAGGCGGCCCCCUGGACAAAGACUGACGCUCAGGUGCGAAAGCGUGGGGAGCAAACAGGAUUAGAUACCCGUGUAGUC